CCUACGAGUGGCAGCAGUGAGGAAUAUUGGUCAAUGGGCGCGAGCCUGAACCAGCCAAGUAGCGUGAAGGAUGACUGCCCUACGGGUUGUAAACUUCUUUUAUAAAGGAAUAAAGUGAGGCCCGUGUGCCUUUUUGUAUGUACUUUAUGACUAAGGAUCGGCUAACUCCGUGCCAGCAGCCCCGGUAAUACGGAGGAUCCGAGCGUUAUCCGGAUUUAUUGGGUUUAAAGGGAGCGUAGAGGGGUUGUUAAGUCAGUUGGGAAAGUUUGCGGCUCAACCGUAAAAUUGCAAUUGAUACUGGCAGUCUUGAGUACAGGUGAGGUAGGCGGAAUUCGUGGUGUAGCGGUGAAAUGCUUAGAUAUCACGAAGAACUCCGAUUGCGAAGGCAGCUUACUAAACUGCCACUGACAUUGAUGCUCGAAAGUGUGGGUAUCAAACAGGAUUAGAUACCCGAGUAGUC
rnacentral:rRNA from 1 species